AACGAACGCUGGCGGCAGGCUUAACACAUGCAAGUCGAACGCCCCGCAAGGGGAGUGGCAGACAGGUGAGUAACGCGUGGGAACGUGCCCUUCGCUUCGGAAUAGCCCCGGGAAACUGGGAGUAAUACCGAAUACGCCGUAUUGGGAAAGAUUUAUCGGCGAAGGAUCGGCCCGCGUUAGAUUAGCUAGUUGGCGGUGUAAUGGACCACCAAGGCUACGAUCUAUAGCUGGUCUGAGGGGAUGAUCAGCCACACUGGGACUGAGACACGGCCCAGACUCCUACGGGAGGCAGCAGUGGGGAAUCUUGGACAAUGGGCGCAAGCCUGAUCCAGCCAUGCCGCGUGAGUGAAGAAGGCCUUAGGGUUGUAAAACUCUUUCGCCGGAGAAGAUAAUGACGGUAUCCGGAGAAGAAGCCCCGGCUAACUUCGUGCCAGCCGCCGCCGUAACAC
rnacentral:rRNA from 1 species